UACGAAGGAUGCAAGCGUUAUUCGGAUUUAUUGGGCUUAAAGGGAGCGUAGGCGGCUUUAUAAGUCAGUGGUGAAAUCUUGUCGCUUAACGACAAACGUGCCAUUGAUACUGUAGAGCUUGAGUACAGAUGCCGUUGGCGGAAUGUGUCAUGUAGCGGUGAAAUGCAUAGAUAUGACACAGAACACCGAUUGCGAAGGCAGCUGACGGAACUGUAACUGACGCUGAGGCUCGAAAGCGUGGGGAGCAAACAGG
rnacentral:rRNA from 1 species